GUUGGGAAUCUUGCGCAAUGGGCGAAAGCCUGACGCAGCCAUGCCGCGUGAAUGAUGAAGGUCUUAGGAUUGUAAAAUUCUUUCACCGGGGACGAUAAUGACGGUACCCGGAGAAGAAGCUCCGGCUAACUUCGUGCCAGCAGCCGCGGUAAUACGAAGGGGGCUAGCGUUGCUCGGAAUUACUGGGCGUAAAGGGCGCGUAGGCGGACAGCUUAGUCAGAGGUGAAAGCCCAGGGCUCAACCUUGGAAUUGCCUUUGAUACUGGCUGUCUUGAGUUUGGGAGAGGUGAGUGGAACUCCGAGUGUAGAGGUGAAAUUCGUAGAUAUUCGGAAGAACACCAGUGGCGAAGGCGACUCACUGGCCCAAUACUGACGCUGAGGCGCGAAAGCGUGGGGAGCAAACAGGAUUAGAUACCCGGGUAGUCC
rnacentral:rRNA from 1 species